GACGAACGCUGGCGGCGUGCUUAACACAUGCAAGUCGAACGGAAAGGCCCUGCUUUUGUGGGGUGCUCGAGUGGCGAACGGGUGCGUAACACGUGAGUAACCUGCCCUUGACUUUGGGAUAACUUCAGGAAACUGGGGCUAAUACCGGAUAGGAGCUCCUGCUGCAUGGUGGGGGUUGGAAAGUUUCGGCGGUUGGGGAUGGACUCGCGGCUUAUCAGCUUGUUGGUGGGGUAGUGGCUUACCCAGGCCUUGACGGGUAGCCGGCCUGAGAGGGUGACCGGCCACAUUGGGACUGAGAUACGGCCCAGACUCCUACGGGGGGCAACAGUGGGGAAUAUUGCCCAAUGGGCGGGAGCCUGAUGCAGCAACGCCGCGUGCGGGAUGACGGCCUUCGGGUUGAAAACCGCUUUCGCCUGUGACGAAGCGUGAGUGACGGUAAUGGGUAAAGAAGCACCGGCUAACUACGUG
rnacentral:rRNA from 1 species